rnacentral:rRNA from 1 species
GAUGAACGCUGGCGGCGUGCCUAAUACAUGCAAGUCGAGCGAACAGACGAGGAGCUUGCUCCUUUGACGUUAGCGGCGGACGGGUGAGUAACACGUGGAUAACCCACCUAUAAGACUGGGAUAACCUCGGGAAACCGGAGCUAAUACCGGAUAAUAUAUUGAACCGCAUGGUUCAAUAGUGAAAGACGGUUUUGCUGUAACUUAUAGAUGGAUCUGCGCCGCAUUAGCUAGUUGGUAAGGUAAAAGCUUAUCAAGGCAACGAUGCGUAGGCGACCUGAGAGGGUGAUCGGCCACACUGGAACUGAGACGCCGUCCAGACUCCUACGGGACGCAGCAGUAGGGAAUCUGCCGCAAUGGGCGAGAGCCUGACGGAGCAACGCGGCGUGAGUGAUGAAAGUCUUCCGAUCGUAAAGCUCGGUUAUUAGGGAAGAACAAAUGUCUAAGUAACUAUACACGUCUUGACGGUACCUAAUCAGAAAGCCACGGCUAACUACGUG